UGGGGAAUAUUGCACAAUGGAGGGAACUCUGAUGCAGCGACGCCGCGUGAGUGAUGAAGGACUUCGUUUCGUAAAACUCUGUUCUAUGGGAAGAAAGGGACUGUACCAUAGGAGAAAGCUCCGGCUAAAUACGUGCCAGCAGCCGCGGUAAUACGUAUGGAGCGAGCGUUGUCCGGAAUUAUUGGGCGUAAAGGGUGCGCAGGCGGCUUUACAAGUUGGAUGUGAAAUAUUGUGGCUCAACCACAAACGUGCAUCCAAAACUGCAAAGCUUGAGUUAAGGAGAGGUAAGUGGAAUUCCUGGUGUAGCGGUGGAAUGCGUAGAUAUCAGGAGGAAUACCGGUGGCGAAGGCGACUUACUGGACUUAAACUGACGCUCAGGCACGAAAGCGUGGGGAGCAAACAGG
rnacentral:rRNA from 1 species